rnacentral:rRNA from 1 species
AUUGAACGCUGGCGGCAGGCCUAACACAUGCAAGUCGAGCGGGGUUUUCGGACCUAGCGGCGGACGGGUGAGUAAUGCGUAGGAAGCUACCCGAUAGAGGGGGAUACCAGUUGGAAACGACUGUUAAUACCGCAUAAUGUCUACGGACCAAAGUGUGGGACCUUCGGGCCACAUGCUAUCGGAUGCGCCUACGUGGGAUUAGCUAGUUGGUGAGGUAAUGGCUCACCAAGGCGACGAUCUCUAGCUGGUUUGAGAGGAUGAUCAGCCACACUGGAACUGAGACACGGUCCAGACUCCUACGGGAGGCAGCAGGUGGGGAAUAUUGGACAAUGGGCGCAAGCCUGAUCCAGCCAUGCCGCGUGUGUGAAGAAGGCUC